rnacentral:rRNA from 1 species
GCUUACGGACAUAACACCCUGAGAACUCCUGAUCUCGUCUGAUCUCGGAAGCUAAGCAGGGUCGGGCCUGGUUAGUACUUGGUUGGGAGACUGCCUGGGAAUACCAGGUGCUGUAAGCU